rnacentral:snRNA from 1 species
UAAUAUAGAUAUGGCUAGGACAUCUGUCACUCCAUUGACCGCCAUGGUUGAUUGAGUUGAUCUGGCCGGCUAGGCAGGUGUCCCCUUCCUCCCCAACCACUCCAGGUACAUUUUUCCUGAAGCUGCUCACAUGGUCGACUUCCCAGACAGUCGAGUAACUGUGCUCCCCUG